CCAUCUGCACGUGAAGGCCGGAUUUUGAAAGGGGUAUUUUGGGAUUCUCCCAUUGCCUUCCCCCGGCGUCAAGGAAACAUCGUCCCCGCUAUCAGGUUCCCGUGUAUUCAUGGAACAGCUGUGCUGAAAUGGGAGUACGGACUAUACGGAACGAGAUCAGAGCUCGAACGUAGAGCUACAAGGUUUAUGCCCCCAAUAAUCUCUACUCUAACGUUGUUCAAACUUCAUACGACUCACGAGGUUUAUCGCAUUCACACCGUACAAUUGUGUGGUUCUAUGAUUGUCUCUAAAGAUUAU